UACGUAGGGUGCAAGCGUUGUCCGGAUUUAUUGGGCGUAAAGAGCUCGUAGGCGGUUUGUCACGUCGGAUGUGAAAACCCAGUGCUUAACACUGGGCCUGCAUUCGAUACGGGCAGACUUGAGUGUUGUAGGGGAGACUGGAACUCCUGGUGUAGCGGUGAAAUGCGCAGAUAUCAGGAAGAACACCAAUGGCGAAGGCAGGUCUCUGGGCAACGACUGACGCUGAGGAGCGAAAGCGUGGGGAGCAAACAGGAUUAGAUACCCUGGUAGUCCACGCCGUAAACGGUGGGCGCUAGGUGUGGGGACCCUUCCACGGUCUCCGCGCCGCAGCUAACGCAUUAAGCGCCCCGCCUGGGGAGUACGGCCGCAAGGCUAAA
rnacentral:rRNA from 1 species